CGCGGUAAUACGUAGGGUGCGAGCGUUAAUCGGAAUUACUGGGCGUAAAGCGUGCGCAGGCGGUGCGGUAAGUUAGGCGUGAAAGGCCCGGGCUCAACCCGGGAACUGCGCUUAAAACUGCCGCGCUCUGAGUCCGAGAGAGGAUAGCGGAAUUCCCAGUGUAGAGGUGAAAUUCGUAGAUAUUGGGAAGAACACCAGUGGCGAAGGCGGCUAUCUGGCUCGGUACUGACGCUGAGGCGCGAAAGCGUGGGGAGCAAACAGG
rnacentral:rRNA from 1 species